UCGGGAAUUUUGGGCAAUGGGCGAAAGCCUGACCCAGCAACGCCGCGUGAGGGAUGAAGUAUUUCGGUAUGUAAACCUCGAAAGAAUGGGAAGAAUAAAUGACGGUACCAUUUAUAAGCUCCGGCUAACUACGUGCCAGCAGCCGCGGUAAUACGUAGGGAGCAAGCGUUGUUCGGAUUUACUGGGCGUAAAGGGCGCGUAGGCGGCGCGAUAAGUCACUUGUGAAAUCUCUGAGCUUAACUCAGAACGGCCAAGUGAUACUGCUGUGCUAGAGUGCGGAAGAGGCAACCGGAAUUCUUGGCGUAGCGGUGAAAUGCGUAGAUAUCAAGAGGAACACCUGAGGCGAAGGCGGGUUGCUGGGCCGACACUGACGCUGAUGCGCGAAAGCCAGGGGAGCAAACG
rnacentral:rRNA from 1 species